CCCUUAGAUGUUCGGGGCCGCACGCGCGCUACACUGAAGGAAUCAGCACGUCUUUCUCCUUGUCCGAAAGGACUGGGUAACCCGCUGAACCUCCUUCGUGCUAGGGAUUGGGGCUUGUAAUUCUUCCCCAUGAACGGGGAAUUCCCAGUAAGCGCGAGUCAUAAGCUCGCGUUGAUUACGUCCCUGCCCUUUGUACACACCGCCCGUCGCUACUACCGAUUGGAUGGUUUAGUGAGAUCCUCGGAUUGGUCCCGGCGCGGCCUCUGGUCGUGCCGGAGUGCCGAAAAGAAUGUCGAACUUGAUCAUCUAGAGGAAGUAAAAGUCGUAACA
rnacentral:rRNA from 1 species